ensembl:lncRNA
AUUCAGCUGUUUGCAGGCUGUAUCCAAAAGUACCCACUGUUGAUACAAGCAGUGUCUAUCUAGAUGCUGCUGGAGAACGGCGGCCCCUCUUGUACAGAGGAAGGGGGCGGAAGAAGAGCUCUCCCAAUGUGCACACUAUGCAGGUCCCCAAGGCAGGAUUCCCAACCCAGACCCGACAUCAUGCCAGUCCUGAAGAGGGAGGCCAGGUGCAUGGAAAUUUCUCUUGCCCAGAGGGAUCGCCCUGACUUUAUGCUGCUGCCUCCAGCUUGGGAGGAGAUCCUGGAAGAGUUAGAGAGGACACCAAGGAAGAGGUGCACACACAACGAGAAAGGCAAACAAGACUCGUGAAAGUUUCCUCAGGAUGAGUCACUGCUCCGGCCCUCUCUCCUUGCUGGGUGCACACUCCUGCAGGACUUAGCUCCCGGGAGACCCAGAGUAACCCCCCGCCCAAAGGAGGUCUGAAAUCUCCGUGUGAUGGUGGAUGAGGCGAUGAGGGGCGUGGCCAAGCAGAAAUGCAGAAAGUGCCGCUCACUGUGAUGAAGAGUCGGCGGUCUGAGAUGCGCCCCAGCCCGGGCGCCCGCCUAAAACGGUCUAAAAUAUCUCCCACCUACUCCCCACUUCCUCUUAUCCAUCUCCCGGCUUCUUCCUGCUCCUACCAGCCUGAUGACUCACAGAGCGGUACUUGUACUAAAUAUGUUGUCAGUAAAAAGUCCUCCACCAUCUUGGUCCUUGCUUUUAAAAUUCAGAUAUUGAAGAAUGUAUAACCUGUUUGGAGAAAAGGAUAAGCCAAAAUUAUUUUCUGUGGUUGCAAAGCAUGCAACCUUACUCAUCAUCUUUAUGCUUCUGUUGCGUCAGUGGAGUGGACCGUAGUCCCGGAACGGUUACUGUGGGCACGAAAUAAUUUAGCUCCCGAAGAGACUGCCUCAGGCCCCCGCUCCGUUCCUAUCAGCAAGAGGGGGAAGCUCAGCUUGCUAAUGGCGAGCUAACUGGAAUAGAGUGAGACUCUUUCUAGGUAUUUGCAGGGUGUUGAAACGUGAACAACGGAAUCAUUUAAAUGUAAAGAAACUGCUAAAUAACUUCCAGCCCGCAUUACUGAGACUGGCGGGUAGAGCUGGGAAAGCUGUGGAAGAAGGAGCCGCGAGCGAGCGGCCUGUGGGCCCCCGCGGAGAGCGACGCGGCCGGCCGGGGCUUCGGCGCCAGCGAGCAGUUUGCAGUCCAACGGGAGGCAGGACAAGCCCUCCCACCCCAGCACCUUUGAGGGCUUGUUUUAACACAACUCUUGGGGUUGAAAUCACAGGAGAAUAGCAUCUCUUUUCUUUCUUUCUCUUGUUCCUUUUUUUUUAGGUCAGAAUUAAAACCAAACGUUCACUUUGUUUAAAAUGGAAAUAGUUCCAGUCUUUUUAUAAGCAACCUCGAAUUAAAA